CGGCCGGGCGCUGCUCCGAGCUGCGGUCCCGGGCAGCUGCUUCCCCGAAGGAGGCCUGCGCGCGCUCCUGGAACGCGACAGGCAGAGGGAGGAAGGUACUCUCCUUGAAAUCCCCUCGAAGGUCAAGUUGGAGGCUUGCGGAGCCGGGGCGAAAGGCGGCGAGCGUGCCUCUGCGGGUGUGCAAGGGAGGCUCUGCACGCAGGACGGUUGUGAAACGUCUCUCUCCUCCCAAACACCGGGUCCGUUGCUCUGAAACACACAGUGUGCUUGGUCACGUCCAAAGGCAGGACGCUGGUAGACGGUUUCGAGAGCCCAGAGCUACAGCGUGGAUUUGUCCUGGACCUCGGGCUACACAGCUUCCAAAACUGCAAAGGAUUGGAGAUGAGCUCGCACGGCGUUAGAGCUCCCUAGUGCUGGAGAGAGUGGGGGGCGGGGCGGCUACAGACCUGCCGCAGCGCCCGCCCGCGCAGUGCCGGGGGCUUAAGCCGCGCAGAGAGAGAGAGAGAGCGUGCGCAUGCAAGUAGGGAGAAGGGCAGAAGGAGAGAAUCUUAAGGAGACUCUUCGCUGAGUGUGGAGCUGGAUCUCACGACUGGAGAUCAAGAUCUGAGCUGAAACCAAGAAGCAGCCACUCAACUAACCGAAGAACCCAGACCAUGGACUUGGAGGAAGCUUAAACAGAGACAGACCUCUCUGAAUUCCUAAUGAAGCCUGAGACAGCAGAGUUUGCAAAGCAGAAGAUGGACCAGACCCAGGACUCAGUGGCGGAAGAGUGGUUUGUCCUUUUUUGAGAGGGGCUGAAGAGAAGACAGCUGAAAGGACCUGAAGACGCUUGGGAGAAGGUGAGAGAAAGGGAGGGAGAGUGUCCUCUUGGAAUCUCCUCCAGAGGCUGAGAUAGAGGGACCUUGCCUCCUCUGGUACUGUGAAAAGUCUACAUAAGUAGACGUUCAUGACCUCAAAGAUUUGGAUCCUUUGCUGCUUUGGGACACCCUGCAAGCCUUUGGUAAAAGAAUGCUAAAAUAUCUGUCAGGGUCUAGUUGGUAUUCUGGUGAAAGAGUUCUGGAAUGAAUUCAGUUUGAAUCUGAAUAAAUACCAAUCUGCCCAUUUGCAGACCACCAGGAAAAGGGCUGCCCAGCCUGAGUGUUCAGGGGCUCCUUCCUCUGAUUCUUCAUUCCUUUGCUGAACAGAAAGGACACUCCUGCUCUCUGCUCCAGAGAGCUUAAAACUGUUAACUGGGUGGGAAAUUAUCAGUUGUUUGAGAUGAUUGGAACUGAAUUGAGGUUUUCUUUGUGAAGCAAAUAGAAGAUUUAAAAGAUUAUUGAAAAUAAUUUAAUUUUCAAGAGAAACUGAAGCAUCUUGUAUCAGCAACAAAUAGAAAAAUUAACUUCUCUUUUUAUUUAUUCCUUUCAGCCUUUUUCUUGUUGUCAUGGCAUUAAUUACUCUGAUGUUAUCACAGAGAGUGGAAAUGUACUAAACCCUUUUCAUUUAGAAAAUAUUUUAAAAAUCACUUCCUGAGGUUCAGAUGAUUUGGGAGAAAAAUUAAAACUGAACUUUAUUCA